CUCAACAUUGUGGACAAUCUCCUUCUUGCCGUCCACUUCGACCACCUCCAAAGUCUUGGGCAGCUCCAAUGUAAAUCCAUCUAGGAUCCCAUCAGUUGAGCUCCUCGUAUGGCAGGAAGGAAUUGAGCCUCCAUAGGAGAUAGUUGUCUCAAGUCAGUUUCUCAGAAACAACCCCUAGUAGGGGCGGCGCAGGGGUAGCUGAUGGUGACGCUAUGAUUAUGGGAGGUUGUGGAUGUUUGUAGAAGAGGAUGCUCUGAUUAUCAUGAAAGAAAAGGAGGAAACGUGAUUGCCUAUCUCGGCUUACCAGGGUUACGUGUUUAUAUAUGGUGAAACACACCAAGAGAUUUACAUCGGUACAGUUGUAAUCGUCUAGGACUCAUUUGCUUCAUAUACUUGAAUUACAACCGGACACAAGUAUCUCUAAGCAAACUCAAACCGAAACCUAAGAUCACAACCGAACCACAUUGAGUACAAACGUAUCUUUUAACAAUAGAGAGCCUAAGAAAUUAGAGUAUACAACCAAAACAUAAACCACCUUAUAUGAUCAAUUUGCAAGCCAGCACCUUAAUGAUCCGAGUAGGGAUGGACCAAUCCCGUCGGGUCUGGCGGGGACAGGGACGGUGGGAAAUUCCUCAUUGAUACCCUGACUAUGCAUGGACACACAAUCCGAACUCCGAAGCAUAUAAAGUGUGUAACUUCCCCUGCUACAAGGAAAGAAUGCUAAAGGCC
rnacentral:lncRNA from 1 species